UGCCUACGGGAGGCAGCAGUGGGGAAUAUUGCACAAUGGGGGGAACCCUGAUGCAGCAACGCCGCGUGAAGGAAGACAGUUUUCGGAUUGUAAACUUCUAUCAAUAGGGAAGAAAGAAAUGACGGUACCUAAAUAAGAAGCCCCGGCUAACUACGUGCCAGCAGCCGCGGUAAUACGUAGGGGGCAAGCGUUAUCCGGAAUUACUGGGUGUAAAGGGAGAGUAGGCGGCAAGGUAAGCGAUAUGUGAAAGCCUUAGGCUUAACCUGAGGAUUGCAUAACGAACUAUCUAGCUAGAGUACAGGAGA
rnacentral:rRNA from 1 species